AAGGUUUCUCUCACAACUUGACAUGCACUCUGCGAGUCUCCUGGGGUUGUUUGAGAAGCAGAAGGGGCAGCGAGGCAAAAAAUGAGAGGACAUGGCUACCAGAAUGACAGAUGACAUUGAUACUGCCAGGGAGAGGACUCUGCAUUUUCUUCAACGAGGACCCUGAUGACCUUGUCCAGGAGUACGUGGACAUGACUGAGGCUACUACACUAAGUGCCAUAGAAGCAACAACUGUUGGAAUCUACAUAUCUAGAGGAACUCCCAACGGUGACAAUAAUGAUGUCGGAGUUGUUAUCAAAGGUGUGGUUGUGCUUCGCGAUCUUGACAAUGUGGCCCUUGCAUCUGCAAUGCUGUUUGGGCUUUGUUACUGCUUAAAUUUGAGGUAUCCACAAAAACUUCCUUACACCUUUGAGGCUUUUCAAAAAAUAAUAAUGGAAUUGGAUGCAGCCCAACUUUCAAAAAAGGUGCAAAGCCUGAAAGCUAAAAUGCAUCAGUAAUGACCAAUCCCUGUUUUUGAAAAAACUGAUGUGGCUUGUUCUCUUCCACCACUAGUAUUUGUUAAGCAAAGAUGACUGCAACAGUUAGCCAAUACAGUAAGUGUUAA